CGGGACACGAGAAAUCCUGUCUGAAUAUGGGGGGACCAUCCUCCAAGGCUAAAUACUCGUAAUCGACCGAUAGUGAACCAGUACCGUGAGGGAAAGGCGAAAAGAACCCCGGGAGGGGAGUGAAAUAGAUCCUGAAACCGCAUGCUUACAAAAAGUAGGAGCCUCGAAAGGGGUGACUGCGUACCUUUUGUAUAAUGGGUCAGCGACUUACAUUCAGUGGCAAGGUUAACCGAAUAGGGAAGCCGUAGAGAAAUCGAGUCCGAAUAGGGCGAUCAGUCGCUGGGUGUAGACCCGAAACCAAGUGAUCUAUCCAUGGCCAGGAUGAAGGUGCCGUAACAGGUACUGGAGGUCCGAACCGACUAGUGUUGCAAAACUAGCGGAUGAGCUGUGGAUAGGGGUGAAAGGCUAAACAAACUUGGAAAUAGCUGGUUCUCUCCGAAAACUAUUUAGGUAGUGCCUCAAGUAUUACCGACGGGGGUAGAGCACUGUUUUGGCUAGGGGGUCAUGGCGACUUACCAAACCAAGGCAAACUCCGAAUACCGUCGAGUACAGCUUGGGAGACAGAGCACCGGGUGCUAACGUCCGGACUCAAGAGGGAAACAACCCAGACCGCCAGCUAAGGUCCCUAAAAUUGGCUAAGUGGGAAACGAAGUGGGAAGGCUAAAACAGUCAGGAUGUUGGCUUAGAAGCAGCCAUCAUUUAAAGAAAGCGUAAUAGCUCACUGAUCGAGUCGUCCUGCGCGGAAGAUGUAACGGGGCUAAGCCAGUUACCGAAGCUGCGGAUUUGCAAUUUAUUGCAAGUGGUAGGAGAGCGUUCUGUAAGCCUGUGAAGGUGUCUUGUGAAGGAUGCUGGAGGUAUCAGAAGUGCGAAUGCUGACAUGAGUAGCGUUAAAGGGGGUGAAAAGCCCCCUCGCCGUAAGCGCAAGGUUUUCUACGCAACGUUCAUCGGCGUAGAGUGAGUCGGCCCCUAAGGCGAGGCAGAGAUGCGUAGCUGAUGGGAAACAGGUCAAUAUUCCUGUACCGAUGUGUAGUGCGAUGUGGGGACGGAGAAGGUUAGCUCAGCCAACUGUUGGAUAUGUUGGUUCAAGCCUGUAGUCGUGCCUGGUAGGCAAAUCCGCCGGGCUUAGAUGAGGGGUGAUAAGGAGUCUGCUUGCAGACGAACUGAGUGAUACCCUGCUUCCAGGAAAAGCCACUAAGCUUCAGCUUGUAACGACCGUACCGCAAACCGACACUGGUGCGCGAGAUGAGUAUUCUAAGGCGCUUGAGAGAACUCUGGAGAAGGAACUCGGCAAAUUGAUACCGUAACUUCGGGAGAAGGUAUGCCCCUAGUAGGUGAACUCGUACAGAGGGAGCCCAAUGGGGUUGCAAAAAAUCGGUGGCUGCGACUGUUUAAUAAAAACACAGCACUCUGCAAACACGAAAGUGGACGUAUAGGGUGUGACGCCUGCCCGGUGCUGGAAGAUUAAAUGAUGGGGUGCAAGCUCUUGAUUGAAGUCCCAGUAAACGGCGGCCGUAACUAUAACGGUCCUAAGGUAGCGAAAUUCCUUGUCGGGUAAGUUCCGACCUGCACGAAUGGCGUAACGAUGGCCACACUGUCUCCUCCAGAGACUCAGCGAAGUUGAAAUGUUUGUGAUGAUGCAAUCUCCCCGCGGAAAGACGGAAAGACCCCAUGAACCUUUACUGUAGCUUUGUAUUGGACUUUGAACAGAUCUGUGUAGGAUAGGUGGGAGGCUUUGAAGCCGGGACGCUAGUCUCGGUGGAGCCAACGUUGAAAUACCACCCUGGUGUGUUUGAGGUUCUAACCUAGGUCCAUUAUCUGGAUCGGGGACAGUGCAUGGUAGGCAGUUUGACUGGGGCGGUCUCCUCCCAAAGUGUAACGGAGGAGUUCGAAGGUACGCUAGUUACGGUCGGACAUCGUGAUAAUAGUGCAAUGGCAUAAGCGUGCUUAACUGCGAGACUGACAAGUCGAGCAGAUGCGAAAGCAGGACAUAGUGAUCCGGUGGUUCUGUAUGGAAGGGCCAUCGCUCAACGGAUAAAAGGUACUCUGGGGAUAACAGGCUGAUACCGCCCAAGAGUUCAUAUCGACGGCGGUGUUUGGCACCUCGAUGUCGGCUCAUCUCAUCCUGGGGCUGAAGCAGGUCCCAAGGGUAUGGCUGUUCGCCAUUUAAAGAGGUACGCGAGCUGGGUUUAGAACGUCGUGAGACAGUUCGGUCCCUAUCUACCGUGGGCGUUGGAAAUUUGAGAGGAUCUGCUCCUAGUACGAGAGGACCAGAGUGGACGAACCUCUGGUGUACCGGUUGUGACGCCAGUCGCAUCGCCGGGUAGCUAUGUUCGGAAGGGAUAACCGCUGAAAGCAUCUAAGCGGGAAGCCUACCUCAAGAUAAGAUUUCCCUAGGACUUUAUGUCCUCUAAAGAGCCGUUGAAGACUACGACGUUGAUAGGUUGGAUGUGGAAGCAUAGUGAUAUGUGAAGCUGACCAAUACUAAUUGCUCGUGAGGCUUGAUCCU
rnacentral:rRNA from 1 species